CAUGAGUGGUGUUUGGUUUGUUACGGGUGGUUGGCUCUUUGCUUGCGCAACAACUUCCACCUGGCAUACCUCCUCAGUUAUGCGUCAAGGCUUGUAUCGCCCGGUGCGUAUUGUGGGUUUUCUGUAUUSCAUACCUAAUUGAMGGUAUUGUUYUGAUCGAUCGAAGUCACUUUUCGUCUUGUGUUGCAUUUUGUGACGCAUAAUGAACCUUGAAGCGGKCUCUAUGAUCCAUCAUGUUGAUGYGCAUGCAUUGAUGUUGUGGCCCAUUGAGCUUUGCUUGGUUUCUUGGAUACGGAACAUGUUGUGGGCAUGGGGGUCUGUCAUGAUCCUUGUUUUGCCCUCGUUUGGUGUUCUCUAUAACGACAGUUCAUGCGCGCCUAGGCUCGUACCUGCGCGAUGUUCUAUGUCGAAGAGGAAUGCUACCUGGUUGAUCCUGCCAGUAGUCAUAUGCUUGUCUCAAAGAUUAAGCCAUGC
rnacentral:misc_RNA from 1 species